CACCCGAAGCCGGUGGCCUAACCCUUGUGGAGGGAGCCGUCGAAGGUGGGAUCGGCGAUUGGGACGAAGUCGUAACAAGGUAGCCGUACCGGAAGGUGCGGCUGGAUCACCUCCUUU
rnacentral:rRNA from 1 species